GGAGGGUGCGAGCGUUAAUCGGGAAUUACUGGGGCGUAAAGCGUGCGUAGGUGGUUAUAUAAGUCAGAUGUGAAAUCCCAGUGCUUAACUUUGGAAUUGCAUUUGAGACUGUAUGGCUAGGGUGCAGGAGAGGGAAGUGGAAUUUCCGGUGUAGCGGUGAAAUGCGUAGAUAUCGGAAGGAACACCAGUGGCGAAGGCGGCUUCCUGGACUGUAACUGACACUGAGGCACGAAAGCGUGGGUAGCGAACAGGAUUAGAUACCCUGGUAGUCCACGCUGUAAACGAUGAGUACUAGAUGUUAGGUGGCUUGACCAUCUGGUAUCGAAGCAAACGCGUUAAGUACUCCGCCUGGGGAGUACGGCCGCAAGGUUAA
rnacentral:rRNA from 1 species